rnacentral:misc_RNA from 1 species
GCAUAUCAGAAAACGCUCCCAGGGCCAUGGAAAGAUGCGGUAAUUGACAAAUCAAUUGGAAUAGGUGCAUCUUUAUGGUCUCUCUUGUUCAUCUUGACGUGUGUGGCUCCACGCGCAAAUGACGUUUGCAGGUAACCCCCCAGAUCAGGGAAAUGUAUGAGAAUUGAUUUAAUUCAUAAUCUCUAUUGCGUGACACUCGGUGACAUGCACAAAGUGCAGCGUACUCUAUUCUCCGACUGGAAUCUUAAAAAAUUUUCCAACAGGGCGUACAAGACACAAGGAGUGCCCCAAGCCCAACAGGUUACCUGCAUCUCGGAGGCUUCCAUACAGCUCUGUGCAACAUGGUGCAGCUAUAUAUCAGCUAUUAAAACCAAG